UACGUAGGGUGCAAGCGUUAAUCGGAAUUACUGGGCGUAAAGCGUGCGCAGGCGGUUCAGCAAGAAAGGUGUGAAAUCCCAGGGCUUAACCUUGGAACUGCACUUUUAACUACCGGGCUAGAGUACGUCAGAGGGGGGUAGAAUUCCACGUGUAGCAGUGAAAUGCGUAGAGAUGUGGAGGAAUACCGAUGGCGAAGGCAGCCCCCUGGGAUGAUACUGACGCUCAUGCACGAAAGCGUGGGGAGCAAACAGG
rnacentral:rRNA from 1 species